AUCAACUUUCGAUGGUAGGAUAGAGGCCUACCAUGGUGGUAACGGGUAACGGGGUGUUAGGGCACGACACCGGAGAGGGAGCCUGAGAAACGGCUACCACAUCCAAGGAUGGCAGCAGGCGCGCAAAUUACCCAAUCCCGACACGGGGAGGUAGUGACAAUAAAUAACAAUACGGGGUUCUAUAGGAUUUCGUAAUUGGAAUGAGUACAAUUUAAAUCUCUUAACGAUCAACAAUUGGAGGGCAAGUCUGGUGCCAGCAGCCGCGGUAAUUCCAGCUCCAAUAGCGUAUAUUAAAGUUGUUGCAGUUAAAAAGCUCGUAGUUGAAUUUCGGGGUUAGUAGGUUGGUCAUGCCUCUGGUAUGUACUGAUCUUACUGAUUCCUCCCUCUUGACGAACUGUAAUGUCAUUAAUUUGGUGUUGCAGGAAAUCAGGACUGUUACUUUGAAAAAAUUAGAGUGUUUAAAGCAGGCUUAGGCUUGAAUACAUUAGCAUGGAAUAAUGAAAUAGGACGUUUGAACCUAUUUUGUUGGUUUCUAGGAUCGACGUAAUGAUUAAUAGGGAUAGUUGGGGGCAUUAGUAUUCAAUUGUCAGAGGUGAAAUUCUUGGAUUUAUUGAAGACUAACUACUGCGAAAGCAUUUGCCAAGGAUGUUUUCAUUAAUCAAGAACGAAAGUUAGGGGAUCGAAGACGAUCAGAUACCGUCGUAGUCUUAACCAUAAACUAUGCCGACUAGGGAUCGGAUGAUGUUAAUUUUUUAAUGACUCAUUCGGCGCCUUACGGGAAACCAAAGUGUUUGGGUU
rnacentral:rRNA from 1 species